rnacentral:rRNA from 1 species
GCAGAGCAUCCUACGGGAGGCAGCAGUGGGGAAUAUUGCACAAUGGGCGCAAGCCUGAUGCAGCCAUGCCGCGUGUAUGAAGAAGGCCUUCGGGUUGUAAAGUACUUUCAGCAGUGAGGAAGGUGGAUAUGUUAAUAGCAUACUCAUUUGACGUUAGCUGCAGAAGAAGCACCGGCUAACUCCGUGCCAGCAGCCGCGGUAAUACGGAGGGUGCGAGCGUUAAUCGGAAUUACUGGGCGUAAAGCGCAUGCAGGUGGUUUGUUAAGUCAGAUGUGAAAGCCCGGGGCUCAACCUCGGAAUUGCAUUUGAAACUGGCAAACUAGAGUACUGUAGAGGGGGUAGAAUUUCAGGUGUAGCGGUGAAAUGCGUAGAGAUCUGAAGGAAUACCGGUGGCGAAGGCGGCCCCCUGGACAGAUACUGACACUCAGAUGCGAAAGCGUGGGGAGCAAACAGGAUUACAUACCCUGGUAG